AGCCCCGGCUAACUACGUGCCAGCAGCCGCGGUAAUACGUAGGGGGCGAGCGUUAUCCGGAUUUAUUGGGCGUAAAGCGUGUGUAGGCGGUUUAUUAAGUUUAAGAUUAAAGCCCGGGGCUCAACUCCGGUUCGUCUUAAAAACUGGCAGACUUGAGUGUGGUAGAGGUAAAUGGAAUUUCUAGUGUAGCGGUGGAAUGCGUAGAUAUUAGAAGGAACACCAGUGGCGAAGGCGAUUUACUGGGCCAUUACUGACGCUGAGACACGAAAGCGUGGGGAGCAAAUAGGAUUAGAUACCCUAGUAGUCCACGCCGUAAACGAUGAGUACUAAGUGUUGGAUUUUCCAGUGCUGUAGCUAACGUAUUAAGUACUCCGCCUGAGUAGUACGGCCGCAAGGCUGAAACUCAAAGGAAUUGACGGGCACCCGCACAAGCGGUGGAGCAUGCUGUUUAAUUCGAUGCUACGCGAAGAACCUUACCUAGACUUGACAUCCCCGGCAAAGCUAUGGAAACAUAGUGGAGGUUACCCGGGUGACAGGUGGUGCAUGGUUGUCGUCAGCUCGUGUCGUGAGAUGUUCGGUUAAGUCCGAUAACGAGCGCAACCCUUAUCCUUAGUUGCUAACAUUUAGUUGAGAACCCUAAGGAGACUGCCGGUGAUAAACCGGAGGAAGGUGGGGAUGACGUCAAAUCAUCAUGCCCCUUACGUCUAGGGCUACAGGCGUGCUAUAAUGGCCGGUAUAAUGAGUCGCAAUACCGCGAGGUGGAGCUAAUCUCCAAAACCGGUCUCAGUUCGGAUUGAAGUCUGCAACUCGACUUCAUGAAGUUAGAAUCGCUAGUAAUCCCGAAUCAGAAUGUCGGGGUGAAUACGUUCCCGGGUGUUGUACACACCGCCCGUCACGCCACGAAAGUCUGUAAUACCCGAAGCUGAUAGCCUAACCCUUUUGGGAGGGGGUCAUUUAAGGUAGGACAGGUGAUUGGGGUGAAGUCGUAACAAGGUAUCCCUACCGGAAGGUGGGGAUG
rnacentral:rRNA from 1 species